AGUAAAAGUCGUAACAAGGUUUCCGUAGGUGAACCUGCGGAAGGAUCAUUAAUGAAUUUUGAAAGGGGUUGUAGCUGGCCUUUUAGGAGGCAUGUGCACGCCCUGCUCUUCCAUUCUUACCCCUGUGCACACUCUGUAGGUCGGUUUGAGCGGCUCUCUCUAACGGGGGAUGCUGUUUGGCCUUCCUAUGUUUUAUAACAAACUCUGUAAUGUCAUAGAAUGUCAUCGCGUAUAACGCAUUAUAAUAUAACUUUCAGCAACGGAUCUCUUGGCUCUCGCAUCGAUGAAGAACGCAGCGAAAUGCGAUAAGUAAUGUGAAUUGCAGAAUUCAGUGAAUCAUCGAAUCUUUGAACGCACCUUGCGCUCCUUGGUAUUCCGAGGAGCAUGCCUGUUUGAGUGUCAUGGAAUUCUCAACCCUCUUAUCCUUGUGGUGAGAUUGGGUUGGAUUUGGAGGUUUAUGCUGGCUUGUAAUGAGUCGGCUCCUCUUGAAUGCAUUAGCUUGGACCUUUGCGGACCAGCUUUUCGGUGUGAUAAUUGUCUACGCCGUGGGCUGUGAUGCUGUUUAACAUGCUUCGGCGUGUUGGGGUUCUGCUUCUAAUGGUCCCUUUGGUGGGACAACUUACUUUGACCUCUGACCUCAAAUCAGGUAGGAUUACCCGCUGAACUU
rnacentral:rRNA from 1 species